CAGCAGCCGCGGGAAUACGAAGGGGGCUAGCGUUGCUCGGAAUUACUGGGCGUAAAGGGAGCGUAGGCGGGUCGUUUAGUCAGAGGUGAAAUCCCGGGGCUCAACCUCGGAACUGCCUUUGAUACUGGCGACCUUGAGUAUGGGAGAGGUGAGUGGAACUCCGAGUGUAGAGGUGAAAUUCGUAGAUAUUCGGAAGAACACCAGUGGCGAAAGCGACUCACUGGCCCAUUACUGACGCUGAGGCUCGAAAGCGUGGGGAGCAAACAGGAUUAGAUACCCGUGUAGCCCUGUCUCUUAUACA
rnacentral:rRNA from 1 species